rnacentral:rRNA from 1 species
UAGGUCCUACGGGGGGCAGCAGUAGGGAAUCUUCCACAAUGGACGAAAGUCUGAUGGAGCAACGCCGCGUGAGUGAAGAAGGGUUUCGGCUCGUAAAGCUCUGUUGGUAGUGAAGAAAGAUAGAGGUAGUAACUGGCCUUUAUUUGACGGUAAUUACUUAGAAAGUCACGGCUAACUACGUGCCAGCAGCCGCGGUAAUACGUAGGUGGCAAGCGUUAUCCGGAUUUACUGGGGGUAAAGGGGUCGUAGACGGGGAUGCAAGUCAGAAGGGAAAGCCCGCGGCGCAACUGCGGGA